AUGCCGGACUUCCCCUACCCGGACUCCGACGGCCAGGGCAAGCACCCCGUUCCCCUCGACUGCCGCCACGGCCGCGUGCUCAUCCACAUGGUGCAGGACGAGCGCCUGGUCUUCGUCGUCUCGGACCCCGUCACGGGCGACCGGCACGUCCUGCCCGCGCCGGGCAUCGUCUGGCUCAUCUGCACCGCCGCGGUCUUCUGCGCCGCCGAUGGCUGCCAACAUCUCGACUGCCAAGGCGGCCCCUUCCGCGUGGCCUUCCUGGCCACCGACGACGACGACCGUAUCGUUAAGGCGAGCGUGUACUCGUCGGUGACAGGUGCGUGGAGUGCGCCAGUAUCUCUCGACGAUGGUUGCGAAUGCUAUGCCCAGCACAUGCGAGAUGACAUUGCAGAAAACCUCCACCACCUACCCUAUGUCAUGCCUCGCCGAGUAGCCGUCAUUGGAGAUGAGGUCUACUUCACGCUUUGGUCUGCUCACAAAAUCGUCAAGUACGACUUGCCAAACAACUGCUUAUCCAUGAUUAACCCGCCGCCACACACUAGGAGCCCAAUUGCUCUCAUGGUGAUGGAGGACAGUUCGCUGGGGUUUGCCUGCACUGAGAGUUCUAGUCUUUAUAUGUGGUCAAGGAAGGUGAAUUCAGAAGCAGCUGCUGAAUGGGUAAAAUGCAGGAGCAUCGAGCUGGAGACAAUUGUGCCCGUUGUGGAUCCAGAUUACCAACCAUUUGUGGUUGGUUCCGCAGAGGGUGUGGGUGUCAUCUUCAUAAACACAGAUGCUGGCUUAUUCACUCUAGAGCUGAAGUCAGGGCGAGUCAGGAAGGUUGAUGAGCCCGCACAGUACUUUAGCGUCCUACCCUACAUGAGCUUCUACACUCCAGAUCGUGGCAUAUUGUUGGCGCUAUCGAAGACCCACUGA
rnacentral:rRNA from 1 species